GUCCCUAUCUGCCGUGGGCGUUGGAAGAUUGAAGGGGGCUGCUCCUAGUACGAGAGGACCGGAGUGGACGAACCUCUGGUGUUCGGGUUGUGUCGCCAGACGCAUUGCCCGGUAGCUAAGUUCGGAAUCGAUAACCGCUGAAAGCAUCUAAGCGGGAAGCGAGCCCUGAGAUGAGUCUUCCCUGAUACUUUAAGUAUCCUAAAGGGUUGUCGGAGACUACGACGUUGAUAGGUCAGGUGUGUAAGUGCUGUGAGGCAUUGAGCUAACUGAUACUAAUUGCCCGUGAGGCUUAACCAUACAACACCCAAGGGGUUU
rnacentral:rRNA from 1 species